GGCCUAUCUAGGCGAGAUUUUAGAGGGACAGGGCUCCAGCCGCUCUGCCUCAGACACUCUCAAAAUGCUCAAACUCUCAGACUUUCUCAAGCCCUGCAGACUCCACUUCACCCAUUCUGCUCCCCUGCCACUUCUGGGGAAUCCCACAAGUGUUCUUAUACCUCCAUAGUGCACAGAAAUAUCAGCAGAUAAGAAGACUACCAAACCCAGGAUUCCCAGACAAACACUGUGCCUGAUUGUGGGAGAAAUCGGAAACCCUUUGGAAUAAGCCUUGCAUUGAAAUAACCUGUUUUGCUCAAAUUCUGAUCUCCAUGUCUGGUUCAUUUCCCAGCCCCGUGUUUCCGGUGGACUGACAAUCAACUACCUCACUAAAUGUGCAAAGCUGUUUGGAGACAAAAUCCCGCCGCAGACACCAGAUGAACCAGUAAUGGGGGAUUUACCCAAAGAGACAGUUUUGAAGGCACCAUAGCAACCAACUGCCACGCAGUGGCCGCCUCACCACGCGGCUGACCAGAUAAUCGAGAGGUCACAGGAUCCCACUAAAGCCCAGAUGCACAUCCAUAGAAAAGGGGUGACAAGAGCAAUGAAAGAUAAUCCAGCAGAUGUCAUAAAAGGAGCUACGUGACCCGAACCAAGGGAGAGACGCCACGGCUGCAGUUUCAGCACAUGACCCAUUGCCUCCCGCUAUGUCCUAGCCAAAUCCCAUAAACGCGGCUGUUUUUCUUAGCCCAGUAUUUUUCCACUAAGCCCUUUAAAUUCUUUUACCCCCAAAUCUUGGUGAAGCGAUGAGUGGGAUCCCCCAUUCCGACUGUGUAUGUGCUGUGGUUCUAACCACUGUAACUUACUCUACGGUGUCUUGGAAGUGGAUUUCCCCGGCAUCUUCAACUAUCCUUUUGUUAUUGUAAUUUAGUUCUUCAGCAGAACUCUGUUUACCUGCCUAAUUCAU